CUCGUAGGUGGUUUGUCGCGUCGUCUGUGAAAUUCUGGGGCUUAACUCCGGGCGUGCAGGCGAUACGGGCAUAACUUGAGUGCUGUAGGGGAGACUGGAAUUCCUGGUGUAGCGGUGAAAUGCGCAGAUAUCAGGAGGAACACCGAUGGCGAAGGCAGGUCUCUGGGCAGUUACUGACGCUGAGGAGCGAAAGCAUGGGUAGCGAACA
rnacentral:rRNA from 1 species